AGAGUUUGAUCCUGGCUCAGAACGAACGCUGCGGCGUGGAUAAGACAUGCAAGUCGAACGAGAUUUUCCGCUGUAGCAAUACGAUGGAAAGUUUAGUGGCGAACGGGUGCUUAACACGUGGGCAACCUGCCAUGAAGUGGGGGAUAGCUCGCCGAAAGGCGAAUUAAUACCGCAUGUGAUUAGAGAGGACAUCCUUUCGAAAUUAAAGUCGGGGCAACCUGACGCUUCUUGUGGGGCCCGCGGCCUAUCAGCUAGUUGGUGAGGUAACGGCUCACCAAGGCUUUGACGGGUAGCUGGUCUGAGAGGACGACCAGCCACACUGGAACUGAGACACGGUCCAGACACCUACGGGUGGCAGCAGUCGAGAAUUUUUCUCAAUGGGCGAAAGCCUGAAGGAGCGACGCCGCGUGGGGGAUGAAUGGCUUCGGCCCGUAAACCCCUGUCAUUUGUGACCAAACCUUCCGAUCUAAAAAGUCGGAAGCUGAUGGUAGCGGAAGAGGAAGGGACGGCUAACUCUGUGCCAGCAGCCGCGGUAAUACAGAGGUCCCAAGCGUUGUUCGGAUUCACUGGGCGUAAAGGGUGCGUAGGUGGUCGGGUAAGUCUGAUGUGAAAUCUCCGAGCUUAACUCGGAAAUGGCAUUGGAUACUAUUUGACUAGAGGGUUGGAGGGGGGACUGGAAUUCUCGGUGUAGCAGUGAAAUGCGUAGAUAUCGAGAGGAACACCAGUGGCGAAGGCGAGUCCCUGGACAACUCCUGACACUGAGGCACGAAAGCUAGGGGAGCAAACAGGAUUAGAUACCCUAGUAGUCC
rnacentral:rRNA from 1 species